rnacentral:rRNA from 1 species
AACGUAGGAGACAAACGUUAUCCGGAGUUACUGGGCGUAAAGGGCGUGUAGGUGGUUUUGUAAGUCUGGCGUGAAAUUUUUCGGCUUAACCGGGAAAGGUCGUCGGAUACUGCAGAACUAGAGGACGGUAGAGGCGUGUGGAAUUCCGGGUGUAGUGGUGAAAUGCGUAGAGAUCCGGAGGAACACCAGUGGCGAAGGCGG